GACGAACGCUGGCGGCGUGCUUAACACAUGCAAGUCGAACGGAAAGGCCCUGCUUUUGUGGGUUGCUCGAGUGGCGAACGGGUGAGUAACACGUGAGUAACCUGCCCUUGACUUUGGGAUAUCUUCAGGAAACUGGGGCUCAUACCGGAUAUGAGCUCCUGCUGCAUGGUGGGGGUUGGAAAGUUUCGGCGGUUGGGGCUGGACUCGCGGCUUAUCAGCUUGUUGGUGGGGUAGUGGCUUACCAAGGGUUUGACGGGUAGCCGGCCUGAGAGGGUGAACGGCGACAAUGGGACUGAGAGACGGCGCAGACGGCUACGGGAGGCAGUAGGGGGGAAUAUUGCACAAUGAGCGGAAGCGUGAGGCAGCAGCGCCGCGUGCGGGAUAACGGCCUUCGGGUGAUAAACAGAUUUCGCCGGAAACGAAGAGUGAGUGACGGUAAUGGGUAAAGAAGCAACGGCUAACUACGUG
rnacentral:rRNA from 1 species